rnacentral:lncRNA from 1 species
AGUUCAAUGUUUAGUUAAACAUGCAUGCGCGAUGUUUGUAUCCUCCAACAAACUGAGUCCAAAUUACUAAAACAGCAACAUGUAACCAAAAGGAGUGCAGUACAGUCCUAGAGAUCAUUUGACAUCAGCCUGCACCUGUCCAUUCAACACUGGCCUCAUUGAACAUGCUCUAAUGAAGCGGAGUGUAUUACUUAGGAUUUUGAAGGAUAUCUGCGUUGCAUAAAUGCGCGUGUCAGAGGAAUCGUUUGUGUAUGUGAGCGCAGACGGCAGACAUUAAGGACACCUUCAGACAUAAAUUUUGACGCUGUUUGAAUGAGAGGCCGUAAUGUGCGUGAGGAAUGAUGGGCCACUUUGUGCUGAAGUGUCCUCGGUGUGCUUUUUCUUCCGUCGAGGUGUUUGUGCUGACAAAAGUGAACGGAAGAGAAAGAGCUCAUUUCCUUAAUUAAACAGCAGCGCGUUCUCAUCAGAAUGUCUGUCUCAAUCAAUAAUUCACACCAACGCCGAUUCCUUAAGUGUCUGUAGUUGAUUGUAAAAGGCAUGUUUUAAUUUAGUUCAUUUUGAUGUUUGAAUAGUGCACAAUUCAUUAAUUUGUAACAUCUUUCCAUAUUAAGUCAUAUUUAAUAAAAAAAUAUUAAAC